GAGGAAUAUUGGUCAAUGGGCGGAAGCCUGAACCAGCCAUCCCGCGUGAAGGAAGGCGGCCCUAUGGGUUGUAAACUUCUUUAGUACAUGAAGAACAGGAUCUACGCGUAGGUUUAUGUCGGUAAUGUACAAAAAAGCAUCGGCUAACUCCGUGCCAGCAGCCGCGGUAAUACGGAGGAUGCGAGCGUUAUCCGGAUUCAUUGGGUUUAAAGGGUACGUAGGUGGCCCUGUAAGUCAGUGGUGAAAAUCUGCCGCUUAACGGUAGGGGUGCCAAUGAUACUGCGGGGCUUGAGUACAGUUGAGGUAGGUGGAAUGUGUAGUGUAGCGGUGAAAUGCAUAGAUAUUACACAGAACUCCGAUUGCGAAGGCAUCUUACUAAGCUGAAACUGACACUGAUGUACGAAAGCGUGGGGAUCGAACAG
rnacentral:rRNA from 1 species